rnacentral:lncRNA from 1 species
UAAGAAUGGCAUCCAAUGAGAUGCUGUUUGCUAAGAUCUACGGUGGUUGCAUUAAUCACGCUGUCAAAGUUCGUCGUUCUUACCUCUAGCUAAGGAUGAAGAGUGAUGUACUUCAUUUGGAGACAAUGCCUUGAUGUGAACCUGUUCAUUAAAUCACUAUAGCUGUGUUAUGAUGGAAUUUUGACGAAAAAAUAGGAUAAAAAUCAAAUAUUUUCUUGAAAGAAUCUUCGAACCAGUGUACUCACCAAGUGAUACUUUGAGGUCCGGGAAUGGUGUUUCUCGUGCUACACGUUGAUGGUGUGUUUCAUCGACUGACUUGAAAUCUGUUAUGUUCAGGGAUAAUGACGUAUAAUGGUCUCGAGAGCUGCAUUCAUUCUUUUGAUAAUGAAAGUGGCACCAGCAGAGGGGAUGGUUGUGUUACUGACUCCUAUGAUGAGGAGAUUCGAGCUGCUCGUCCAGCACUAAUGCUUUCGGAUCGUUCUCCUCUCUCUGGACGAUAAUGAAGAAAGACGAUCAGUGUCAAGAUGAGUGGAACUUCACUGCAACCCCUCGACGUGUCCUUGCAAAAGAAAAGCCACAGCAGACCAGCCAAUUCAUGGUCGUCGAAACAAUGAAAGAGAAGUUUGCUAAGCUGUUGCUCGGGGAGGAUAUUACCGGAGGGAAAAAGGGCGUUUCCACCGCAUUAGCACUGUCGAAUGCUAUCAAUAAUCUAGCAGGUGGAGACCGUUAAGCAGCUACGAAACGAGCUUAGUUUCUUAUCAAAUGUUUGCUCAUGCUAAAUAUUGGUGAAAAACUUUGCAGCUU